CGGGCCGUAGCACAGCUUGGUAGUGCGCUUGAAUGGGGUUCAAGAGGUCGUGGGUUCGAAUCCCGCCGGCCCGACCA
rnacentral:tRNA from 2 species